UGAGUAACGCGUAUCCAAUCUGCCGUCUACUCUUGGACAGCCUUCUGAAAGGAAGAUUAAUACAAGAUGGCAUCAUGAGUCCGCAUGUUCACAUGAUUAAAGGUAUUCCGGUAGACGAUGGGGAUGCGUUCCAUUAGAUAGUAGGCGGGGUAACGGCCCACCUAGUCUUCGAUGGAUAGGGGUUCUGAGAGGAAGGUCCCCCACAUUGGAACUGAGACACGGUCCAA
rnacentral:rRNA from 1 species